GAACAUUUGCUCUUUUAGUAUUUCUCCAGUAGGUUUCCUCACAGAGAAAGCGCCCCA
rfam:Salmo salar isolate Sally breed double haploid chromosome ssa21, whole genome shotgun sequence.